UUUGUCUGGCCCUGAUCAGCUCCAGAUCUCUGAGUGCUGGCUAGCACUUGACAUGCUGAUGAUGGUCCAGGCUGCUGACGUCUGAGCUCUACUAACAUUUCAAUGAAUCGCAGUUGCAGCUGUCAUAGCAAUGGAGCUGCUGACGUCAUUGGCUCAUAUUGGAUGGGAGACAUGCCCUCAGCUUGUUCUACAAGAAGAACUCUAACUUCCCCAGGGAUGUCAGUCCUUUUCAAGGGACAGCAAUCACAAGACUCUCUUUGGCUCUUUUCCUUCUUCUGCCUGAUGAGUAGAUAUCCAGUACUUCUUCUGUAUGCAUGAAUGGUGAUACACAGGCUUACUUUUAGGAUCUCAGCUGUCAUCCACGUUUAUUCAUUUUAAGGAUGAGGACAAGGGGAGCUCCAUCACUUCUGCAGAGUGUUUUCCUUGGAUGGAAGGAGAACUAUUGACAGCACGAUGGAUUCAGCUUGAAGCACAGAGGUUGCACAUGUUGCCACAUCCAGGAAGACCAUCACAAUGUACUCCAAUGUCAUGUGCACAUCACAGAGCUGCUCUGAACUUUGGACAGGGGACUUUGGAAGAGGAAAUGGGACUCAAUCACCUUUCUUUCCUACAUUUAGCAGAAAGAACCGUGAAAUGCAUUACUGUGAGAAAGGCACAUGACCCAUUUCCAGGAAUUUAAUCGGAAAAGCUGAGGAAUUUGAUUAACAUGAUCUGUAGCUUUAACCUCACCUGCCCUCCACCUUUCAAUGACUGCAUGUAAAAUCUCAGUGGUUUACCUGCCAUGCCUUCCUGUGUCGCCCACCCCCCACCACCACUUUAUAUCAACCUGCUGGUAGCUGGAGAGAAAAAAACUGAAUAAAAGAAAACUGAGAAUUGCAUUGAUGGAAUUGUGAUUUGUAGAAUUUUUCUCCUCUUAGUCCCUGCCUCCUACUUGCUCUCUAGCCACUCCAAAGUCUCUCUCUCUCUCUCUCCAUAGCAAAGCAUUUUCUUUUUUAUCUCUCACUACUCAAUCAGUACAUCAUCCCCUGAGCACCACAAAGACAAUAUCACAUCUACACCCUGCAGAUGUCGAAGAAACGGAAAACAAGUGAUAGUGAGGCUAACAUUCCCCAAGCUGUGUCCUCAACAAGCCUUGAGAGAACAGAUCAAGGUGACUGGGUCGUUGUAAAGAAGCUUGAGGGACGAGACCACGCCAGCCACUGCAAGAAGCUGCUCAACCACACCAAAGAAUUGAGGAGUAUCUUUGUUUAUUUAUUUUUUUGUUUAGUACAUUUCAGCAAGGGUAACGAAGAAAAUCACCCCAACUUAUUGUUUAAAGUGUAUUCUCCAACUAACUAAGAAAGUGAACAGGAACAAUUGCCUGGUCUACUCUGAAUCUCCACUGAGCAUUAGUCCCCAGCGAUGACAGCGGUACAUGCUAUUUAUUUUAGUAUUGGUACGAGGAGUUUUGACAAACUAGAAACUGAAACUUGUCAAUAGAAUUUCACGAUACAUUUCUAGAGGGUAAAAUUGGUUAUAGUUUUAACAAUAGCUCUGCCUCUUGCCGGUUUGGGUAUCAGGACAACUAGGUAGCCCACAAGUGUGUUUCAACUUUAGUUUGGUACUUAUGCGGAUCUACAGCUUAUAAUGUAAUUCCCCCUAAUGCAAGAGGUUCAUGCAUGCUGUUUGAAACUCCUCCCAGCAUCUUAUGUCCCGGCCGUUUGUGAGGAUCUGAUGGUGCGAGAGAAGGUAAGAAUGGCAGGGACAGCUAGAAGAGAAUUGUUCACCAAUCCCGACCAGGUCUGGGCAUGGUUUCCUACAUGUACAAGGUGGGGGCUUGAGCUUAUGAUACGAUUGAACAAUUUCUCAUCCAUUGUGGAUGGGAUGUUCAUUUAAACUGUUGAAGCCAGAGCUGUAGCUAGUGAAGGUUGCAAUCCUUUUAAGGGUUUGAGAAACUUUGGGGAUUUUUUAUUUUCCAUUGGAUCGUGGUUAAAGGAAGUAGGAUAUAUAUAUGUAUAUACUCAUGUCAUUUUGUUUCUAUUCCUUCUAUAUGUCGUAAUGAGGUGCUCCUGUUGCCUGAUUGGAUGCGUGACCAGAGCCCGAGCAGAUGACCACAUCUUUCUUGAUGAGACGCCCCGAAGCCCAACCCACAUAGAAGCCACAGAGGAUCCCAGACCAACCGGCAAUUACUACAGCUCACCAUGUCAUCUCUCCUGAAGAACAGAGUUUACAUGUCAAGCCGUGUUUUCCUUUUCAUGAACUCAUAUGGACUGUAAGGACUGAUUAAUUUCCUGGUGUAAGAAGAAGAGCAAGAUUCAUUGAGGGACACAUGGGAGCAUAUGACAAAGAGGAGGAGCUGUUGUGGAAAUUUUAUGAAGAUGUAUUUAAUAUGUAUUGUCAUAGUGUCACCCAGUGUUAGUACUCCCUCAGCCCGCUCCAAAGAGCUGACUGGGCAGACUAACGCUGGUUGAGUUCCGUCUGGUAGUGGAAAACUUCCUGGGGUUGGAGAGAGGUGUUUGCAGAGUGUGCAUUAGUACAGACAUUCAUCUGAGAGGAUAUGUUUGCUCUGAAAGGACAUUAUCGGUUAUAGGCAGAUGUACGCUUUUGUCUCUGCUGUGUCUGAUCAGCACAGGUUGAGAUUCGUAGCGUACACCUGCAGAUAGCCUCUUAUCCACAAGUAACGAUAGUAUAAUCUGGGUAUGCGUUGUUCUCUGGAGCAACGCAGAAUAAGGAUUCCUAUCAGCGGAAAUACAGGAGUUUUUGAGUGGUUAUGGUCAGAGAUGGAGUCCAUGUUUGUUCAGCCACUUUGUUUAGUGGAAUCCAGGAAAGGCAAUACACCCUGUCUCUGCUCAGACACACCCAUAGGACUCCUUUAGCAAUUAUUCAUUGGUUGUUUGUAUUAACUCUUCCUGUUGGAAGGAUUUCCUGUUAGGUCAUAUACCGUGAUGUCACU